GCAUUCUCCCUCACCAAGUACACAGAUCCUCUCUCCACACCUUGAGGCCACUACCAGGAGAUGGGGAAAAGGUGGCAUUGGUAAUUUUACGCUAUCUUUACUAAUGUCUUCAAUGCCUCUUUCUGUGAUAUGAAGAUAAAACCAGGUUUAUCAAAGACAAAAAGCUACAAUAAAGAGCCUCUCUGUUGCCAAGCUCACCUUCAAGGAAAUAUCGUGGAUUAUUACUGCCUUGGUUACAGUCAAUUACAGGAGCAGCAGUGUUAUAUGCAAGAAAGUGCCAAGCUCUAAUAAAGGCAGUUUCUAAAAGUCAAAUUUUACUGAAGUGAUGGAGUGAGAACAAGAGUGACUAAGAUAGAGAAAGAAACAGAGAGAGAUGGGGAGAGAGAGAGAGAGAGUGAGAGAUGUUACGAACAAGGUUGGAAGAACUGGUUAUUUUCCCAGGGCUUUGACUGGAAUAGCCUUGUGAGAGGUUCAUCAAGUCCAACUUAGGAGAGCUUUUGUGGACAAUGAUUCUUCCUGCACUUUAAAAGAGGGGAUUUCCUGUUGUGGAAAUAGAAUGGAUUUAGAGAAUAACUGCCAGAAACUAUCAAUUUGUGAAGAAGAGCACCAACCACAAAACACCCAUAGUAACCCUGGACUCAACCAGACUUGGGCAAAUUAUGGAACAUCCUGCCCGUGAAGAGGAGCUACCUACUGUUGGCAUCCUAUCUGCUGAGAGCUGAACACUCAUCAGGAGGACCUGUCUGCAGAAAGGAGCUACCCACUCUCAGACUACUCUCCAGGGAGGGCUGCACACUUGAUGGGAUCUCCUCUCUGCUGAGGGCUGCACUCAUCAGGAUAAUCUUCCUGAAAGAGCUACCUAUUUUGGGUCUCCUGAGAGCUGUGCUGUUGCUUAAUAAAGCACCUCUUUGCCUUGCUCACCC